rnacentral:lncRNA from 1 species
CGUGGAGGCAUCUGCAAAAGAGGAAACAGAGCAAACCAACAAAAGAAAAGAAUCUCAAGUCAGUGAACAAGUAAGUACAAGUGAUGUUCUCCAGCAAGUCGGAUCAGCGACAAGGAGGAGUCCAGCGACACAUGCAUUCAGAAAUCUCCCUAAGACCACAACAAAUUUCACACUCGCAAACUUUGAAGUGCAAUAGGCAUGAAGAACAAAAUUCUCAAACUAGCCAAAUGAACCGUUUAAAGCGCAUGGGAGUGGUCGAAAUCUGCCCUAAAUGGAUCGCCAUAGGUGAAAUCAAGCAAAGCAUCAACCCAAAAAGAGCAAUUUCGACAAACAAACCUGAGGUACCGAAAUCGAAAAAGUGGAGAAUCGAAGUGUGUACCUUGGUGGAAUGGCAAAUCGAUGAGAGAAACAGAUAGAGGGUGAAAAUCUGAUGAGGUUAGGCUUUGGAAUCACUCAAAUCGGUGAAGAUUUGAGUAAUUUCGGUUGUGGUGAGGGUGGUUAUGGCGAAAGUGUCGAGUGCGGCGAGGAGGAAGGGAGGAAAAAGGGUGUGAGGGUGAAGGUUUUAAAUAAACGUGGGAAAAAGAAGACUUACCUAUUUGUGAGUGACGGGCGACACCUAGGGUGGUGACGCGCGACACUUGCAAAGUGCGAAUGCUAUUGUCCUCGUGCCCGAUCCGCUUCCGAUUCCCCUCCGGUUCUGGAAUUCCGGGUAAGCUAGGUCCGAAACAUGAAAUUUUUUUUUUUUUUUUUUUUUUUUUUUUUUUUUUUUUUUUUUUUUUAGAG